CGGACGGGUGAGUAACGCGUGAGAAAAGCCUUCAGGACGGGGAUAACAGAGGGAAACCUCUGUCAAUACCCGAUGUGCCGAAAGGUGAAAGUAAUUCGCCUGAAGAUGAGCUCGCGUCCGAUUAGCUAGUUGGUGGGGUAAGAGCCUACCAAGGCGGCGAUCGGUAGCUGGUCUGAGAGGAUGAGCAGCCACACUGGGACUGAGACACGGCCCAGACUCCUACGGGAGGCAGCAGUGGGGAAUUUUCCGCAAUGGGCGAAAGCCUGACGGAGCAAGACCGCGUGGGGGAAGAAGGCUCUUGGGUUGUCAACCCCUUUUCUCAGGGAAGAAGUUCUGACGGUACCUGAGGAAUAAGCAUCGGCUAACUCCGUGCCAGUAGCUGCGGUAAGACGGAGGAUGCAAGCGUUAUCCGGAAUUAUUGGGCGUAAAGCGUCCGUAGGUGGCUUUUCAAGUCGGCGGUCAAAGACCGGGGCUUAACUCCGGAAAGGCCGUGGAAACUGAAAGGCUAGAGAAAGGUAGGGGUAGGGGGAAUUCCCGGUGUAGCGGUGAAAUGCGUAGAGAUCGGGAAGAACACCGGUGGCGAAAGCGCCCUACUGGGACCUUAUCUGACACUGAGGGACGAAAGCUAGGGGAGCGAAAGGGAUUAGAUACCCCUGUAGUC
rnacentral:rRNA from 1 species